UGACCUCGGAUCAGGUAGGGAUACCCGCUGAACUUAAGCAUAUCAU
rnacentral:rRNA from 6 species